rnacentral:rRNA from 1 species
AUGACAAAUAUGGUUCGAUGGCUCUUCUCUACUAACCACAAGGAUAUUGGGACUCUCUAUUUCAUCUUCGGUGCCAUUGCAGGAGUGAUGGGCACAUGCUUCUCCGUACUGAUUCGUAUGGAAUUAGCCCGACCCGGCGAUCAAAUUCUUGGUGGGAAUCAUCAACUUUAUAAUGUUUUAAUAACGGCUCAUGCUUUUUUAAUGAUCUUUUUUAUGGUUAUGCCGGCGAUGAUAGGUGGAUUUGGUAAUUGGUUUGUUCCGAUUCUGAUAGGUGCACCUGACAUGGCAUUUCCACGAUUAAAUAAUAUAUCAUUCUGGUUGUUGCCACCAAGUCUCUUGCUCCUAUUAAGCUCAGCCUUAGUAGAAGUGGGCAGCGGCACUGGGUGGACAGUCUAUCCGCCCUUAAGUGGUAUUACCAGCCAUUCUGGAGGAGCAGUUGAUUUAGCAAUUUUUAGUCUUCAUCUAUCAUGUAUUUCAUCAAUUUUAGGUUCUAUCAAUUUUAUAACAACUAUCUUCAACAUGCGUGGACCUGGAAUGACUAUGCAUAGAUUACCACUUUUUGUGUGGUCCGUUCUAGUGACAGCAUUCCUACUUUUAUUAUCACUUCCGGUACUGGCGGGGGCAAUUACAAUGUUAUUAACCGAUCGAAACUUUAAUACAACCUUUUUUGAUCCUGCAGGAGGGGAAGACCCAAUAUUAUACCAGCAUCUCUUUUGGUUCUUCGGUCAUCCAGAGGUGUAUAUUCUCAUUCUGCCUGGAUUUGGUAUUAUUAGUCAUAUCGUAUCGACCUUUUCAAGAAAACCGGUCUUCGGGUAUCUAGGCAUGGUUUAUGCCAUGAUAAGUAUAGGUGUUCUUGGAUUUCUAGUUUGGGCUCAUCAUAUGUUUACUGUGGGCUUAGACGUUGACACGCGUGCCUACUUCACCGCAGCUACCAUGAUCAUAGCUGUGCCCACAGGAAUCAAAAUCUUUAGUUGGAUCGCUACCAUGUGGGGAGGUUCGAUACAAUACAAAACACCCAUGUUAUUUGCUGUAGGGUUCAUCUUUUUGUUCACCAUAGGAGGGCUCACUGGAAUAGUUCUAGCAAACUCUGGGCUAGACAUUGCUCUACAUGAUACUUAUUAUGUGGUUGCACAUUUCCAUUAUGUACUUUCUAUGGGAGCCGUUUUUGCUUUAUUUGCUGGAUUUUACUAUUGGGUGGGUAAAAUCUUUGGUCGGACAUAUCCUGAAACUUUAGGCCAAAUCCAUUUUUGGAUCACUUUUUUCGGGGUUAAUCUGACCUUCUUUCCCAUGCAUUUCUUAGGGCUUUCGGGUAUGCCACGUCGCAUUCCAGAUUAUCCAGAUGCUUACGCCGGAUGGAAUGCUCUGAGCAGUUUCGGUUCUUAUAUAUCCGUAGUUGGGAUUCGUCGUUUCUUCGUAGUUGUCGCAAUCACUUCAAGCAGUGGAAAGAACCAAAAAUGUGCGGAAAGUCCUUGGGCUGUUGAACAGAAUCCAACCACACUAGAAUGGUUGGUACAAAGCCCUCCGGCCUUUCAUACUUUUGGAGAACUUCCUGCGGUAAAAGAGACAAAAAGCUAA